rnacentral:lncRNA from 1 species
AUUUACGGAAUGUCGGUAAAUAAAAUAAAGAGAAAUCAUAUAUCAACGAAAAUGAUUGUGGUAGAUGUCAUUGUGAUUAGCAUAGCUUAACUAGCACAUCCAAUAGUAAAAAAAAAAAAAAAAGUGAAGUAUCUAUCUACUUGUAUAGUUUAUGAAGAAUUAGAAUUAGUAGUUUGGCUUUAUUUCAAUCUGGUGGUUGGAGAUUAGUUUUCUCAGACAGUGGAAAUUUCCUGAUCUAUUUAGCCUUGUUUAUUAUAAAACUAACAAAAACCAAUAAUUGCCAGCUAAUAGCGAAAUUAAAAUAACAAAACUCGAAAGAAAAGAAAAUAAUAACGAAGAUAUUGAAAUGGUCCCUUCUGAACAAAGCCCACCUCCAACGACUACUUUUAUUCACUAUAAAACCAACUCUUUUCCAUGCAGAAACACAAUCAAUCACUUCUUCUUCUUCUUCUUCUUUCUCAAAAACCAAAAAACAUUUUUCUCCAAUUAUUUCAUCUUUGAUAGUAUUGGAGAAACAAAAACAGUCUUGACCGAGACUGAAUAUUAUCAGGUGAAGAAUGGCGACUCCGGCAUGGAGUCAUGCCAAGGCCCAAUGGGUUGUCGCCAUGUUGGCGCUACUCGUUGGCUCGGCUAUGGCUACCGAACCUUACUACUAUAGCUCUCCUCCCCCACCUUACGUGUAUAAAUCUCCCCCGCNNN